UAAAGAUUACUUUUAUAAAAAUUAAAUUUGAUUAUAAUUUAAAAAUUUUUAAAAUAAUAUUAUUUAGGUUUAAUUUAUAUAGUGGGCAAUAAAAAUUUACCCCGGUAAUUAAUUGUUUGUAUAAUACUUGUUCCAGAAUAAUCGGCUAGGCUUGUUAAACAUAUACUUUAAUUUUGGUUAAUUAUAAUUAAUGUUAAUAUAAAAUUUUUAUAACUAUAGGUUAAAUUUUAGUUAAUUUAAUUUUGAUAUUAUAAUUUUAAGUUUUGGUAAACGAAUUAGAUUAGUACCUAAUUAGACAAAAGUUAAAAGAGCAGGAGUAAAGUUGUAUUUAAACUGAAAGAAUAUUGGCAGAUUUUCUAAAUUAUCUUUGGGGGCUGAGUAAUAAUUGAGAACCCUCAUUAACUACUUAUUUAAUAGGCUCAUGUAUGAUCGUUUAUUUUAUUUUUAAGAAAUAUAAUAAUAAAUUAUUAUUUAUAAAAAUAGAUAUAUAUUUGGUUUAUAUGUUGAGAUUAAUUUGGCCUACAAUUUUUUGUAAAGUGAAUUAUUAUAAUAGUUUAUAAUAUGAAAAUGUAAAAGACAGUAAAAAGAUUUUAAUGGUUUUUUGAAGAUUAUUUAGAUGUGGUACAAAUCAUCCAUCAAUUGCCCAAAGGGGAGUAAGUUGUAGUAAAGUAGGUUUAGGGGAACCUAAACCUAAUAAUU
rnacentral:ncRNA from 1 species